rnacentral:SRP_RNA from 1 species
CCGCGCUAAGCGGGGAGCUGGCGAUGCCCUGUACCUGCGAUCGCCUAGCAGGGCCUAGAUCCCCGCCCGAGGCGGCCCGGGUUCGGUUGAACCCGGUGCGGUCGGCGUUGAUGGUCCGGUCCCGGGCAAUGGGGCCCCGUGAACCGUGUCAGGGCCGGGAGGCAGCAGCACUAAGCGGGUAACCUUAUGUGCUACGGGGUAGCCGGACCGGAGCUGGCGGCCGGGAGUUCGCCGGGUUCGAGUCCGUCGACGGCGGGGUGCGCGG